UACGAAGGGGGCUAGCGUUGCUCGGAAUCACUGGGCGUAAAGCGCACGUAGGCGGCUUUUUAAGUCAGAGGUGAAAUCCUGGAGCUCAACUCCAGAACUGCCUUUGAUACUGGAGAGCUUGAGUCCGGGAGGGGUGAGUGGAACUGCGAGUGUAGAGGUGAAAUUCGUAGAUAUUCGCAAGAACACCAGUGGCGAAGGCGGCUCACUGGCCCGGUACCGACGCUGAGGUGCGAAAGCGUGGGGAGCAAACAGG
rnacentral:rRNA from 1 species